GACGAACGCUGGCGGCGUGCCUAAUACAUGCAAGUAGAACGCUGAAGGAGGAGCUUGCUUCUCUGGAUGAGUUGCGAACGGGUGAGUAACGCGUAGGUAACCUGCCUGGUAGCGGGGGAUAACUAUUGGAAACGAUAGCUAAUACCGCAUAAUAGUAGAUGUUGCAUGACAUUUGCUUAAAAGGUGCAAUUGCAUCACUACCAGAUGGACCUGCGUUGUAUUAGCUAGUUGGUGGGGUAACGGCUCACCAAGGCGACGAUACAUAGCCGACCUGAGAGGGGGAUCGGCCACACUGGGACUGAGACACGGCCCAGACUCCUACGGGAGGCAGCAGUAGGGAAUCUUCGGCAAGGGACGGAAGUCUGACCGAGCAACGCCGCGUGAGUGAAGAAGGUUGUCGGAUCGUAAAGCUCUGUUGUAAGAGAAGAACGAGUGUGAGAGUGGAAAGUUCACACUGUGACGGUAGCUUACCAGAAAGGGACGGCUAACUACGUG
rnacentral:rRNA from 1 species